rnacentral:rRNA from 1 species
AACGAACGCUGGCGGCAGGCCUAAUACAUGCAAGUCGAGCGCUCUAGCAAUAGAGAGCGGCGCACGGGUGCGUAACGCGUGGGAAUGUACCUCUAGGUGCGGAACAACGUCGGGAAACUGACGCUAAUACCGCAUAAUAUCUCCGGAUCAAAGAUUUAUCGCCUAGGGAUCAGCCCGCGUUGGAUUAGUUAGUUGGAGUGGUAACGGCACCCCAAGACAGCGAUAGAUAGGGGCCCUGAGAGGGGGAUCCCCCACACUGGUACUGAGACACGGACCAGACUCCUACGAGAGGCAGCAGUGAGGAAUAUUGGACAAUGGGCGAGAGCCUGAUCCAGCCAUGCCGCGUGCAGGAAGACGGCCCUAUGGGUUGUAAAACUGCUUUUUGUACGGGAAGAAACACCCCCUCGUGAGGGGGCUUGACGGUACCGUAAGAAUAAGGAUCGGCUAACUCCGUG